AAGACCUUGCGCUUUUGGAGCGGCCGAUGCCUGAUUAGCUUGUUGGUAAGGUAAAAGCUUACCAAGGCUUCGAUCAGUAGCUGGUCUGAGAGGACGGCCAGCCACACUGGGACUGAGACACGGCCCAGACUCCUACGGGAGGCAGCAGUGGGGAAUAUUGGACAAUGGGGGCAACCCUGAUCCAGCCAUGCCGCGUGAGUGAAGAAGGCCUUCGGGUUGUAAAGCUCUUUCAGCCGGAACGAAACGGUUACGGUUAAUACCCGUGAUUACUGACGGUACCGGAAGAAGAAGCACCGGCUAACUACGUGCCAGCAGCCGCGGUAAUACGUAGGGUGCGAGCGUUAAUCGGAAUUACUGGGCGUAAAGCGUGCGCAGGUGGUUUUGUAAGUCAGAUGUGAAAGCCCCGGGCUCAACCUGGGAACU
rnacentral:rRNA from 1 species